rnacentral:tRNA from 1 species
GGAUGGGAAGCUUAAGUGGUAUAAGCGGCUGCCUGUUAAGUAGAUGAUAGAGAGUUCGAAUCUCUCCCCGUCCGCCA